rnacentral:rRNA from 1 species
AAGUCGAGCGAAUGGAUUAAGAGCUUGCUCUUAUGAAGUUAGCGGCGGACGGGUGAGUAACACGUGGGUAACCUGCCCAUAAGACUGGGAUAACUCCGGGAAACCGGGGCUAAUACCGGAUAACAUUUUGAACCGCAUGGUUCGAAAUUGAAAGGCGGCUUCGGCUGUCACUUAUGGAUGGACCCGCGUCGCAUUAGCUAGUUGGUGAGGUAACGGCUCACCAAGGCAACGAUGCGUAGCCGACCUGAGAGGGUGAUCGGCCACACUGGGACUGAGACACGGCCCAGACUCCUACGGGAGGCAGCAGUAGGGAAUCUUCCGCAAUGGACGAAAGUCUGACGGAGCAACGCCGCGUGAGUGAUGAAGGCUUUCGGGUCGUAAAACUCUGUUGUUAGGGAAGAACAAGUGCUAGUUGAAUAAGCUGGCACCUUGACGGUACCUAACCAGAAAGCCACGGCUAACUACGUGCCAGCAGCCGCGGUAAUACGUAGGUGGCAAGCGUUAUCCGGAAUUAUUGGGCGUAAAGCGCGCGCAGGUGGUUUCUUAAGUCUGAUGUGAAAGCCCACGGCUCAACCGUGGAGGGUCAUUGGAAACUGGGAGACUUGAGUGCAGAAGAGGAAAGUGGAAUUCCAUGUGUACCGGUGAAAUGCGUAGAGAUAUG